ACAAGGAUUCAAAUACUUGGGCCCAGAUGUUCAUAGUGACCAAAGAUGGAAACAACCCAAAUGUCGGUGAGUUGGUAGGAGCAUGUGGUAUAGCCAUUGUGUUGGGAAGAACACAGAACGCCUGUUUCUCCUCUGUAUUCAGGCCACGAUCAACACAAAAGACUUCUGACCCCAGGCACGUGGGGCACCUCCGCAGCCAAUUUUCGGCGGACACAACAUCUUUUGUUUGUAUGUGGUGCUGAGGAUCGAACCCGGGCCGCACGCAUGCCAGGCGGACACAACAUCUUUGUUGGUAUGUGGUGCUGAGGAUCGAACCCGGGCCGCACGCAUGCCAGGUGAGCGCGCUACCGCUUGAGCCACAUCCCCAGCCCCCCCAGGAAUUUCUUUAUGGCCAGCUCCAAGACAGAAAGGUGGUGGAAGAUCAGAGUUUCUGUGACCUGCCUUAGGGAAGAGUAAUUCUAGUUUCUGUGGUCCCUCGAGGAGAGAGUUAGGAUCCAGCAACCAGGAUUAAGAUCCAAAAUAUAUAGAGGCCCUAAUAUCACAACCGUAUAUCAGGGGAUAUUAGUCAGCCAUAAAAAGGAAUGAGGCACUGAUUCAUGCUAUCCCAUAGGUGACCCUUGAACAUUAUGCUAAGUGAGAGAGGCCAGAUGCACAGGCCAUAUGUAUAUAAAAUGACCAGGAAGGUAUACCUAUAGAGACAGAAAGCAGACUGGUACUUUCCAGGGGCUGAGGGGAAAGGGUCAAUGCGAAGUGACUACUUAAUGGGUAUGGGGUUUCCUUACGGGAUGGUUGGAAGUGUUUUGGAACUAAGAUGAGGUAAUGGUUGCAGAACGCUGUGAAUGUACUCAAGGUCACCACGUUGUACCCUUCAAAAUGGUCAAUUGCAUGUUUUGUGAAUUUCACCCCAGCCAAAUACAUACAUGGACACAUA